GUCUGAGGAAGGAAAUAGUGUUUUAUUUUUAUAUUUUAGGCCAAAUAAAAAAGUAUGUGUGGUUCCAGUAACAUCUGAAAAAAGUUAGGGUAGGUAGGUAGGGAUUUUUUUUUAUUUUUUGUUUUUUUUUUUACGAUGAGUCUAUGGGAGUAGGCUGUUUUUAAGCCGAAAAAGUAGGGACGGUAGGGUUACACAUAUAUUUUUAUUUGGCCUUAUGAAUCAAUUGUUUUUGACAAUUUUUGGAAACACAAAUUUAUGUCACAAACAUGCUUGGUUUGAAAUGUUGAAGAUGGUUUCAACAUGUCUAUUUGAAUAGUUUUCUGCACAAUAAAUGUUUCAACAAGGCCAGAAGUAGCUUCAACUGGUGUGUAUAAUGCCAUGAAAAAGUUGUGUAAUGUUAGAACUUAUCUGCAUUAAAAUAUUGGAAUAAAUUGCAAUACUAAAUAAGGUGUUUACUCAAAUUUGUUGUACUGUUACAUGUAUAUGUAUACCUGACUUAAAUAAAGUGGUUUAUUAAGGUAAAUUCUCAGGGUAAUUAUUGUAUAUAUAUAUUGCAUUUUACAGGGUAGGGAUCUCCUGUAGUUGGUCUGGAUCUAUGAUCACAAUCAUGCAUGCAUGAUCAAUUCAUGUCACUUUAUUACAUGUGUACAAGGAAUUAGAUACCUUGUAAAUGUAUAUCCUUGAUGAGUAUCGUGUAUUUUCUGUUAUUCUUCUUUAGUAGUGCAAUUAAUUAGCAUUUGUUGAUUAUUAGCAAUUCCUUAAAAAUGAUGACUUUAAAAUGCAAUUGGCAUCUACACACCAUGCACAUGCAUAAAAAUCCUAAGGUAAAAUGUGAAAUGCACAGGUACAGCACCUACCUUUUUAGUUCCCUGUAUUUCCUGCCAAUAAAAGUCAC
rnacentral:lncRNA from 1 species